rnacentral:sRNA from 1 species
GUUUUGCAAUUAUUUAUCGAUUGGAAUCUCAGUGCCCUGGGGUGUAAUUCGGAUUUUCUGCUGAGAGAAAGUGAAAAUAGUAAGAUAAACAUAUCCAUUCAUCCUUAAUUCAUCUUCAUUUCAAAUCAGAUACAAACAAAUAGAAACUAAGACCGUUGGAUUGAAAUAGCCAGCCAUUAAAAGCCUAAUGACUCUGGUUACAAGAAGAACCUUUUUAAAUCUUCGAUAGCAUAUAUAGCAAUUAUAACCCUUAAAUAUAUCAGCGAUCUCCAUUCCCAAAGACAAUGAUAUAUGAAGACAUGGGAAUUUGGUUUCUCCUAACAUCGAUCUACCAUAAUCUGCAGACUCGACAUGUUCCUUAAGAUUACCACACACAUUACUCUCUGGGUGGUGAUAUAUUAGAUCAUUACAUUUUCAGAUAUUUCUUCGUCUUUAUAAGCUAACAUUUCUAAACUUUUCCAAUGGCUGCGAGAUUCUUUGGCUGUGUUCUUUCUCCACACGCUUUCUAAAUGGGAGAAAAUCGAAGAAAGAGCACCAGCUUCCCUUCGCUGCCAUUCGCCUUUCCACAGGCCGAUGACUUUGGGUUGAACCGGUCAAUGAAUUCUUAAUGUGGCCCAGCACAGUGGGCAAUAAAUUAUACAAGUAGCCAUGUCUCUCACUCCGGUGAUAAACGUACUUCAGCUGGGCACCACAUCCCAGCUUCUUAGAACGGGAACGGGCACCCAGAGAUCGGCCAAAGGAAGUGGUAGAGUGGAAACGCACUGACAAAGACCCUCUGGCGGGCGGGGUUGUGGGAUUGAUCACCUGGGGAACAGGCUGAAACAAAGCAGGAAACCAAAGACCGGAAAAUUAUACUCAUGCCAUUCCUGGUUUCCUCUGGUGGAUAGCUGGAUAGGAAAGGAAUGGUUAUGGGUACGGAGAGGGGGAAGGGGAGCAGUACCCACCAGAAGGCCCCUGGUAAAGAGUGUUUCCUAUAAUCUGAGCACAUUAGCACAAGUCGGCCUGGAAGUGCAUAAGUAAUAGGUAAUUGCCCCGAGGUUGAGGUUCGCCGCCCUCUGGAGCGACAUUGCGUGGGUCAGGCUAAAACAAUUGCUGGAAGUCACUCUAGCGUUAAGUUAUGAUGGUCCACAGAUAACGACACGACGUUGGAAACGACUCACAGCAAUGGCAGGAGGAGGGGGCUUACACUUGGUUUGUGGCCCAUCUAAUUGGUCUGGUGAGCGUAGAUGACAGACAGAAGGAAUCUGGAGGAGGGUUGCUUGGGAAAAGGGUUACUGGAGAACUAAAGCUGUCAGAAUUUAACGAAUAUCUUAAGGAAGUGUGAGCUUCUGUUGCGUGACGUAAUUAGUAUGCAUUCAAUUCACAAAGGAGAUACAGGACCUAUAUAACAAAGGGCCUUAAAAAUCCCCUUACAUAUCUGAGAUGAGAUAGUGAAGAGCCAAAAUCUUGAAAUGGACUCUCGAAAGCCCGUCGAAUUUAGCAAUUCAUGUGAUUUGCACUCCGAUAAGGUGCGUAAUUAAAUUAUCAAUGCUGCCCCUCCAGCCGACAUAUCUCCAGACAAUUUUCCACUUGGCAUGGACAUGGAACCGAUGCCACAAAUGGUGCAAAUCGCGUGGUCCGAUAGCGGAUAUCUCUGAAAACCGUCGGGGGUUCACCUUUAUCAGCGCACGAGUUCCUCGAGGCUCUGAAUCGAAUAUGGCCGAAAGCCGCUGAAGCCAAAGUCUCAUCGACGUAGUCGCAGUUGAAUUUUCCACUUAGCGGAGUCAACAGUGUGUGGACGGGACUGCCGGAGAUCGCUUGAGUGAUCUUAGUAUCUUGGUUCUGACUGUCGAGAAAGCCGGGAUCUGGUUACCAGGCAUGUGACGAGAGAGAUCGUCGUGGACGAGUUAACAUGAUCUUCGGGCUCCAUUGUCAAUGGCAGGCCAACUGCGACGCUAGACGCUAGUGACACUACUUGGCCCGGUCCCAGGUUUGAGCCACUUUCGGCAUCAAUUACCAGCCUCAAGCUCGGCGCACAAAUUAUAAACAUUUCCCCCCAAAAGCCCCAAAACGCAACUGUGUCAAAAGGCGAGCUCCACGAACUGCGAUAUAGUUUCAACGAAACAUAAACCCUAAUUAUAUUAUUUGACAGCUGGGGCCUGCUGAUACAUAACCCCUGGCGGCCAACGAAUCUCAGUGAAAACUGUAAUGAGCCUCGGAAAAUCUUUUCCCAAAAACAAACCCACCGAAGAAAACCAUUUUAAUUUAGAGUCAAGCGCGAAGCCGUCAGGCAUGACAGUACACUUGAAACAAAAUCGGACUUAUAUCAAAUUGAA